CCUACGGGUGGCAGCAGUGAGGAAUAUUGGUCAAUGGCCGGAAGGCUGAACCAGCCAUGCCGCGUGAAUGUCAGUGCCCUAUGGGCGUUAAACUUCUUUUGUGCGGGAGCAAUAAUGGUCCCGUGUGACACGACGAGAGUACCGUCAGAUUAAGAAUCGGCUAACUCCGUGCCAGCAGCCGCGGUAAUACGGAGGAUGCGAGCGUUGUCCGGAUUUAUUGGGUGUAAAGGGUGCGUAGGUGGUUAAUUAAGUCAGCGGUGAAAGUUUGUGUCUCAACCAUAAAAUUGCCGUUGAAUCUGGUUGACUUGAGUAUAUUAGAGGUGGGCGGAAUGCGGGGUGUAGCGGUGAAAUGCAUAGAGAUCACGCAGAAAUCCGAUUGCGAAGGCAGCUUACUAAACUAUAACUGACACUGAAGCACGAAAGCGUGGGGAGCAAACAGGAUUAGAUACCCUUGUAGUC
rnacentral:rRNA from 1 species